rnacentral:lncRNA from 1 species
UGGGAAUGUACGCUUGAGAGUAAAAUAUUCAAAGGUCAUAGACAUUUUAAGUCACUUUUUCAAAAUUAUAAUUCCAAAUUGUUUUCCCAAAUGGAUAUGCCAUGUCAAAGGUAGAACAACUCAUUGUGCUAAUUUUUAUAUAUCCUCUCCAAAAUUGGCAGUUCUGACCUUUUGUAAUGCUACCUCCUGAGGUAGAGCCCCCAUUCUGUUAUUGCAUACAAUUUUAUUAAUGACUUGCAAUCAUGUUUAAUAAAGUUGAUGAUAACUUACAAUUUUUCUUUUGAGAACUGUAGUUUCAAUCUUUUGAUGAAGGAUUUUCCAUCAUGAAAUAGUGGUUAAUCUUAGGCAUUUGGGGUACUUUUCUUAUUUCAGAAACAUUUAUUGUGAUCAUAAUGGAAAGCCAACCAAACAGACCCAUCUAUGAACUGGCAUAGGUUGAUCUCCCUGCAGGCUGUGGAGUAUUUGCAAGGUGAAAGAGAAUGCAGAUGGCCAGGCCUUGUGCAUUUUAAAAGUUCAGAAGCUCUAGCCACUUACAGGAAGUCUGGGGCCUGGGGUCCAGCCUGGGCUAUGCUUAAAAGCCAAAAAAAAAAAAGUGAGAGAGAGAGAGUCUUCCAUUGUUCAGUGAGAGAUUUGUAAAUAAAUUUUGUGGAUCAAAUCCAAGUUAAGUAUGAUCUCAUCCUUGCCUGUGAUUGUGUUGAAAUAGGAGAAAAGGUGUUGGGGUAAUAUUUGGAAUUCUUUUCUUACUAUAUUGUUGAAGCAAAUAUCUCUUACCAAAGUCUAAUUGAUGUUCAUAGUGUUAAAGUAACCAGCUCCUAAUCACCUAAUAGGGUAAACAUAACACACUGAUAUGAUGGCUGAAGACUUCAUUAUUAAGGGAUCAUACCAGGACAGCUGGGUUUUUCAAUGGUUAGAGAGCCAGACCUACAGAAAGGUCCUGCAUUCAAAUUUGGCAACUUUGCCUAGCCCUUACUGUUCUUCUGUCUUGGAACUUUUUACUUAGUAUUGGUACUAAGACAUAAAGUAAAAGUUUAAAAAGUAUAAAAAAGGAUACUACCCCCUUAGCACUCAUAGUGAGAGAUGUAGCUGGCCUUACUGUGGGAAAAUGGGGUAAUGAGAGGGAGGCCAGAGGAAGGGAGUGAUAGUCAUAUACAUAAAGAUAUUUAUAUAUCACAUAUAUGUAUUUGCAUACAUAUUUUAAAAUAUAUUAUAUACCUUUUUAAUGUGGCUAGGGAUAGAAAUUUGAAGGCAAGCCCACAAAUUGGGGAAUGGCUGAAAGUUAUGUGAUGGAAAUAUGAUAGAAUGUUAUUGUAUUUCAAUAAAUAAUGGAAGAAGGUUUGAGAAAAUAAUGGG